rnacentral:misc_RNA from 1 species
UCCGAGUUGACCCCGGCAGUCUCCCAUGAGUCCCCGGCAUAACCCGCUGGCAACAUAGGACGAGGGUUGCGCUCGUUGCGGGACUUAACCCAACAUCUCACGACACGAGCUGACGACAACCAUGCACCACCUGUAUACCGACCUUGCGGGGCGAACAUUUCUGAACGUUUCCGGUAUAUGUCGAGCCUUGGUAAGGUUCUUCGCGUUGCAUCGAAUUAAUCCGCAUGCUCCGCCGCUUGUGCAGGCCCCCGUCAAUUCCUUUGAGUUUUAGCCUUGCGGCCGUACUCCCCAGGCGGGGCACUUAAUGCGUUAGCUACGGCGCGGAAAACGUGGAAUGUCCCCCACACCUAGUGCCCAACGUUUACGGCAUGGACUAC